GACAUCUUACAUAGUUCAUCUAAAGGAACAACUCUAGCAAUAAAGACAAGGCCCAUCCUUUCAUAUUGCUAAAUCUGCAGAAGACUGAAGAGGAAAAUGUCUGCCCAGAGCCUUCUGAGAACUUAUCUUCUCAACAGACCUGACAGAAGGGUGUCAAAAGCAGCAUUGUAUCAACUACACUGGCAGACACUUCAAUGCCUUAUGGCCAGGGUCUUUCCUCAACACACGUAGCAUUACUCUUCCUGGCUCAAUUUAUUAAAAUGUUUAUUUAUCUUGGAGGUUUUAUAAGGUUUUGAGGUUUUAAACCAUCCUCAUUGAUUAAUAUUUAUUCUAACAAGCAAAUCCAUAUUUGGCUUUCCACCUUGCCUCAUUCCUAUUGUUCACAUUCCAGAUAGACUUUGCAUUCAUGGUAUCAAGUCCGCAUGCAUUUAAGUGUUUUCUUUUCCAUAUGCUGGUAUUACCUUCUGCUUUGCCCAGAACUUGUUAUGCAUGCAUGAUCACAGACUAUUUCUAGCAUUAAUUAAGAUAUGAAAUUAAAGUGAGAAGUAUAUUAUUGGUUGCAUAAUACAAACAAUACAAAUUUGCUUUAAAAACCAAAUUACUGAAGUGUUAGCAAAUCUCUUUAUACUGUCAGAAAUAAUUUUUACAAUCUACAUGCCAUGGUACACAUGGAAUUCACACAAGUGGAUUUGCAGUAUUACUUCCAAUUCAGGAAAACGUACAAAAAGCAUGAGAAGUUCAUUUCAUCUAUAAAUAUAGCCAAGAAAACACAGGUUUGUCUCUCCUGCUCUGUGUUCCACCAGGCAGCCUCUGCCCUCCGUGACUCACUACACAAUGUACUCCUGAACCCACUAGCAAGGCUUCCAUUGUUUGCAUAAGAACAACUUUCCCUCAAAUCUGAUGAGGAAUUUUACUGGAGAAAAAGUCAUAUUUUGUUAGAAAUUAAAUGUUUCACAGGUACAUAAUGUUUUUGAUGAGCUUCUGACAAACAUAAGCAUAUAAUCAACAGCAAUUUGCUACAUUUCCUGCCCCCAAACCCAGAGACUCCCAAGUUUUGCUCUUCUAAAGAAGCUAGCCACGUGGACUGGCUAAAACCUAUUAAUUUCCAAGAUCGAAAGGGCAUUUUAUCAUGCUGAUUGGCAGAGAUCUGAGAGCACUGCAUCCUCUAGAAGCUUAAACUGAAAGAGUACCCUGUCAGUAACGCUGCCAGCCUCAUAGACAAUUUACUUAUCAUCUCUUCCUUAUCUCUAUAAUCAAAAAUAGAAACCUCCACAUUCACUCAGGCUAACAUACUCCCUACCUCACUCUUACAUUAAAGACACCUCUACCAAAUGCCCUCAAAAGGAGUCAAACCUUUCUACGUACUUAAAUUUCUUUAUGAAAACACAUUUACCAAACGGUUUACAAUAUUUAACAUAUGCACAUUUUACUGAUUGUACAUGUCAAUAUAUGGUGUGCAGCCAUCUUUCUGACCCCAUUGCUCUGCUGCUUUUGCUGUGAAACCUCCUUAUGGAAUGCCUCUGUAACAGUAGGUGUUAAUACAAUUUGCGCAAAGUAAAAUAAUAAGUAAUAACAAUGAAAUGUGUGUUCCCUGGGACUCCGUGAUAACUCCAGAUAAAAAUAAUGUCAUAGACUGGGAAUAGACUCAUUAAUAAAAUUGCACUCAGAAGAGUGACUUGUUUACUUACGCACAAUGGAAAACAAUACAUUAACAAACCCUGUAUUAAAAAGAAAUUAUGAUCACAACAGCACAACAAACAGCCAGGGAUAUCAUCAUGUACCUGCCUUGCACAAAACAAACAACCAGACAAAAGGCUCUGAGGCUGAUUUGUCGAGGGCCUGUACUCCCCCAGGUUCCUCUUACUACACAAGCUGUUCAGUGUGCUCCGAACUAACCAGGAAAAGUUGAACUCCUUCAAGGAUCCAAUCCUUUGUUAGUAAGGCUGUUUUUAUUAGGGCAGAGUUUUGGGAAUACCUUCUGUAACCUCUGUACCAUGGCA